GAUGAACGCUAACUACAGGCUUAACACAUGCAAGUCGAGGGGUAACGAGAGGAAAGCUUGCUUUCCUUGUCGACGACCGGCGCACGGGUGAGUAACGCGUAUCCAACCUGCCCCCAACUAAGGAAUAACCUUGCGAAAGUAAGACUAAUACCUUAUAAUUUCCUCAGAUGUCAUCUGACGAGGAAUAAAGAUUUAUCGGUUGUGGAUGGGGAUGCGUCUGAUUAGCUUGUUGGCGGGGUAACGGCCCACCAAGGCAACGAUCAGUAGGGGUUCUGAGAGGAAGGUCCCCCGCAUUGGAACUGAGACACGGUCCAAACUCCUACGGGAGGCAGCAGUGAGGAAUAUUGGUCAAUGGGCGGAAGCCUGAACCAGCCAAGUAGCGUGCAGGAUGACGGCCCUAUGGGUUGUAAACUGCUUUUAUACAGGAAUAAAGUUAGCCACGUGUGGUUAUUUGUAGGUACUGUAUGAAUAAGGACCGGCUAAUUCCGUGCCAGCCGCCGCCGUAA
rnacentral:rRNA from 1 species